rnacentral:rRNA from 1 species
UACGGGGGGGGCAAGCGUUGUUCGGAAUUACUGGGCGUAAAGGGCUCGUAAGCGGCCAACUAAGUCGGAUGUGAAAUCCCCAGGCUUAACCUGGGAACUGCAUCCGAUACUGGAUGGCUUGAAUCCGGGAGAGGGAUGCAGAAUUCCAGGUGUAGCGGUGAAAUGCGUAGAUAUCUGGAGGAAUACCGGUGGCGAAGGCGGCAUCCUGGACCGGCAUUGACGCUGAUGAGCGAAAGCUAGGGGAGCAAACGGG